GACGACUCUCGGCAACGGAUAUCUCGGCUCUCGCAUCGAUGAAGAACGUAGCGAAAUGCGAUACUUGGUGUGAAUUGCAGAAUCCCGUGAACCAUCGAGUCUUUGAACGCAAGUUGCGCCUGAGGCCACUCGGCCGAGGGCACGCCUGCCUGGGCGUCACGCC
rnacentral:rRNA from 1 species